rnacentral:rRNA from 1 species
CCUACGGGAGGCUGCAGUGGGGAAUAUUGCACAAUGGGGGAAACCCUGAUGCAGCGACGCCGCGUGAGUGAAGAAGUAUCUCGGUACGUAAAGCUCUAUCAGCAGGGAGAAAAAUUACGGUACCUGACUAAUAAGCCCCGGCUAACUACGUUCCAGCAGCCGCGGUAAUACGUAGGGGGCAAGCGUUAUCCGGAUUUACUGGGUGUAAAGGGAGCGUAGACGGCAGCACAAGUCUGGAGUGAAAUCCCGGGGCUUAACCCCGGAACUGCUGUGGAAACUGUGCGGCUGGAGUGCAGGAGGGGUAAGCGGAAUUCGUAGUGUAGCGGUGAAAUGCGUAGAUAUUAGGAGGAACACCGGUGGCGAAGGCGGCUUACUGGCCUCUAACUGACGUUGAGGCUCGAAAGCGUGGGGAGCGAACAGGAUUAGAUACCCCAGUAGUC